UUAAGAAACUGAAAACGUAUAAUCAGGAAACAGUCCAUGGGUUCUUUCUUUUGCACCAGAAACUACUGGGGUGAGGGCUGGGCUUGAGAGAAGUGGUUCUUCCUUAGCACAUUUGCUUUGUUCUCAGCAUAUUUGUUUGAACAUUCAGACACCAUUAGGGAGUGCAUAAAGGUACAAACACCAUGCAAUCGUGCUGCUGUGGGCCACAAGUCUUACAAAAUAAAAUGCAGAUCAGUAACUCCAACUCUCACAAACUGUCAUUUAUCAGAAGAGACCACAGGAGUCAAAAACGAUACACUCUAACAACAGUGAUGUCCCCGGAAAGGGAGUACACAAGAGAGAAAUUAGCUUUAUUAUUAGGGUGAUGUGUUUUGGGACAAUUGAUUUUUUUUAUCUAUAAUAAUUCACUUGAUACCUCUGUUUUAAUUUUAGGUUAAAAAUACCAGCAUGGGUCCAUCCUUUGUUUGCCUAGAAGAAUCUUUGUAUUUGCCAAAAGGACAUUGCAUAGGAAGUUGGCCAACAGCAUGUUGAUUAGGACAGGCUGUGCAGAAGGGGCACUUAUCUUUAGGUCCCACAUGUCCACAUGACCCUCUAAUAUUACAAGUGUGAUAGUGCUUCCUCCAAGACACAGCUGUCUUCAGAUACAUGAUACAUAGAGCUUUCAAUGAGUUAAUAAAAUUCCAGGGGCAGGGAGAUAGCCCACACCUACAGACCCUGCAACUUGAACCUGCUGUGUUUCACUUUUCACACCUUUCUGCAAGAGUGAACUUGCUUACACUACAAAAUCAAAUACACACAGACACAUAUACACACACACACACCCCCUGACAUGAGAAAAAAACAGUAUCAUGCCUCAUGACUACUUAAAUUAUGGGUUACUCCAUUCUCUAUUAUUUCUAUGGAAAUGAAAUGUUUUGUUCAUAAAAUUAAAAUUAACAAAGAAAUAUUUUUCUCCCUUCUCCCUAAUUGUCUAAUAUCUAUAUGUUGAUGCUGCUCAUUGACUCUGAUAAAAUGGAGAAAGCAAGAGUCAGUGGAAGGAACACAUGCUAUGGUGCCAGAAAAGAUCUAGAGUAAUGCCAGAAGCCCAGCUCCUACUCACCACUACAUUGCCUUAGGUGGGGUUCUUGCUGAGAUCACCAUGAAUAAUCCAGGUGAAGACAGACUUGUGGCAAGCAGCAUCUUGCUGACCCAAGAUAAAUUGAGAAAUUCCCCCCAAGGAACAGGAAGAAACAAUCCUCUUAUUUGACUGCUCAACAAGGAAGCUUAAAGAAGAUACUUGUUCUUUGGAAUCUGUCGUCUACAGAUGAGAACAGCUAGCUAGGAGGCAAAGAGAAUUCUGAGGCUUAACUGAUCAUUCCAAAUGGAUAGCCAGAGCCAAGAGAUAUAUCAGGACUGAGUUAAGUCUGCCUGAGAUGGCAAUUCAUUGCUAUGCAUUCGCUGAUUUAUAAAACACAUUGUUAAGCACCUACUACUAAAAGCUACUGCAUUCCAGGCACUAUGCCAGACACUAGGGACACAGAGAUGAAAGACGUGGUCCCUGCCUUUGAGCUGUAUGUACAAGGCCUAAUGGGAGGUACCACAAUGUAGUGGUCAAAUCACAGACUUUGAGUCAGAUCGAUGUUCUAAUCCUUACCCUGCACAUUUUUUUUUAAACUAAUUUGCACAUAGUAAACCAUAUAAAUAUGUGCAAAUCCUCUCUAAAGUUCAUUUUCCACAUCUAUAAAAUGGAUUAAUAGUCUUACUUCACUGUGAGAAUUAAUGACAUAAAGCAUAGUACCUGGAACAUGGUAAGGACUCAAUAGAUGACAUGUAUAUUAUCAUUAUCAUCAUCAUCGUGGAGACAGCCAUGUGAAUUAACAAUUACAACAUUACAUGUGAUGCAAUGGAAUGUGAGAAGGUACUAGAAGAACUUAGUCUGGAAUGGUGAUGAGGAAGAUUUAUAAGAGGAGGGGAAUUGAUACCAAGCUGAGCCCAGAAAAAUAAAAAUAAGUAGCAGGAAGUCAGGCAUAGGAAGGACAUUCUAGGAAUACAGAGUAAUAGCAUGUACAAAAGCCCAGGGGCAAAAAAAAAAAAAAGAAAAGCAGGCACUUACAGGAAAUUGCUAGUAGUUGGAUCUUGGGAUAUAUAGGCAGGAGAGCUAUCAAAGAAAGGAGCGGCCAUGCAGUCAUCCUGGCAG